rnacentral:rRNA from 1 species
UACGUAGGGGGCAAGCGUUGUCCGGAAUUAUUGGGCGUAAAGCGCGCGCAGGCGGCUUCUUAAGUCUGGUGUGAAAGCCCGCAGCUCAACUGCGGAGGGCCACUGGAAACUGGGAAGCUUGAGUGCAGGGGAGGAGAGCGGAAUUCCACGUGUAGCGGUGAAAUGCGUAGAUAUGUGGAGGAACACCCGUGGCGAAAGCGGCUCUCUGGCCUGUAACUGACGCUGAGGCGCGAAAGCGUGGGGAGCAAACAGG